CACGUAGGGUGCGAGCGUUGUCCGGAAUUAUUGGGCGUAAAGAGCUCGUAGGCGGUGUGUCGCGUCGGCCGUGAAAACCUGCAGCUUAACUGUGGGCUUGCGGUCGAUACGGGCAUCACUGGAGUUCGGUAGGGGAGACUGGAAUUCCUGGUGUAGCGGUGAAAUGCGCAGAUAUCAGGAGGAACACCAAUAGCGAAGGCAGCUCGCUGGGACGGUACUGACGCUAAGGCGCGAAAGCGUGGGGAGCGAACAGG
rnacentral:rRNA from 1 species